UACGAAGGGGGCUAGCGUUGCUCGGAAUCACUGGGCGUAAAGGGUGCGUAGGCGGGUCUUUAAGUCAGGGGUGAAAUCCUGGAGCUCAACUCCAGAACUGCCUUUGAUACUGAAGAUCUUGAGUUCGGGAGAGGUGAGUGGAACUGCGAGUGUAGAGGUGAAAUUCGUAGAUAUUCGCAAGAACACCAGUGGCGAAGGCGGCUCACUGGCCCGAUACUGACGCUGAGGCACGAAAGCGUGGGGAAGCAACAGGGAU
rnacentral:rRNA from 1 species